UGUACCAGUUGUUCUGCCAAGGGCAUGGCUGGGUAGCUAUGUACGGAAUGGAUAAGCGCUGAAAGCAUCUAAGCGCGAAGCCAACUUCAAGAUAAGAUUUCCCACCGCAAGGGUAAGACCCCAGAAAGACUAUCUGGUUGAUAGGUCGAAGGUGUAAGUGCAGCAAUGUAUUUAGCUUAUCGAUACUAAUAGGUCGAGGACUUGACCAAU
rnacentral:rRNA from 1 species